rnacentral:rRNA from 1 species
UACGUAGGUCCCGAGCGUUGUCCGGAUUUAUUGGGCGUAAAGCGAGCGCAGGUGGUUUAUUAAGUCUGGUGUAAAAGGCAGUGGCUCAACCAUUGUAUGCAUUGGAAACUGGUAGACUUGAGUGCAGGAGAGGAGAGUGGAAUUCCAUGUGUAGCGGUGAGAUGCGUAGAUAUAUGGAGGAACACCGGUGGCGAAAGCGGCUCUCUGGCCUGUAACUGACACUGAGGCUCGAAAGCGUGGGGAGCAAACAGG